AAAAAAAAACAAGUUUCACUCACAUGAAUUGGUUUCCUGCAAUUCUCUUCUCUGCUUCUCUAACACAUCCCAAAACCACUGGCUUUCCGUUGUCAUCACGAUAUGCACCCUUUCGUAAUUUGCAAAUAAAACAGAAAUUCAAAAAAAGAUCCGAAACAGGGAAAGAACGAAAAGUUGGAGGACUUACUACUCCGACGUUGAUUUUGUUGGGACUCUGAUCAGCGAGAAAAGCUUCGGUAACUCCGAGGAUUGGAUCCUUGGGAGCCUGUUCGAUGUUUCUGAACCACGAAGACAUGAACCUAGCUCCGGUAACAGAGCUUCCGUUGAGAAAUUUUCCGUUGAGCACAUUGCGAAUAGCCAUGAGAAAUAUGGAUACAGAGUAGAGAGGUGGGAGAUUGAG